UAAGGGGUUGGCAUACGUAAGGGUCUAGCUGCCAUGUUGGAGGUCUUGACAGGGAAUUUCUUUCCUCCAAUCCCUUCCAAUCAGGGAUUUGCCAGAAAAACUAUAAUUGUUCCCCGUGGCUUGGACUCUCUCCCUCCCUUAUCAUGGAACAACUGAAUAAAGCAGAGCCUUUAAGAUUGUUGAUAAACUAUUUAUUCUUCUAUUUGUCACAAUUUCGCUAAAUUAGAACGAUGUAAACUUCUUUUGGUAAGCGCUAAAGCUAACUUUGUGCGCAUGUUUAGACAUCAGGAACUGGAUAAGAAACAUUGAGCAGCAUGCUUCCGACAAUGUCAACAAAAUUCUGGUCGGCAACAAGGCUGACAUGGACGAAAGCAAAAGGGUUCUCUCUCUCUCUCUCUCUCUCUCUCUCUGAUCUAUGUAUGUUGUUGUAUAUAUGCUAUUUAUUGCUGCUAUGUGACUGAGUUCAUGUAAACCUUUUCUGCAGGCUCAAUCAUCGUCUGAUCUAUGUAUGUUGUUGUAUACAUGCUAUUUAUAGCUGCUAUGUGACUGAGCUCAUGUAAACCUUUUCUGCAGGCUGUUCCUACAUCAAAAGGUCAAGCACUAGCUGACGAAUAUGGCAUU
rnacentral:lncRNA from 1 species